rnacentral:lncRNA from 1 species
AUGAGAAGUCUUUUAAAUUAUAAACAAGAGUUAGCUGAAUCAAGAGAAUAUGAAUUAGAAGUUGAAUCAGAAGCAGAGUCCGGUACAGGAUCUAAUAUGUACACAGAAAUAUACACAGGGGCAUUUACAGGAGCAUAUACAGGAACAUAUACAGGGGCACAUUUAGGACCAUACACACAAACCCAAAUAGAACCAUAUGAAGAAACACAAUUGGACCCGUAUAGUCAAACUAAUUUAGGACCAUAUGCACAUAUAAACUUAGAAGAAUACACACAAACACACAGAAAAAAAAAUCCAAGAAAAUCUAUUGAGUCAUAUCAUAAUAAAAAGAAUAAAAAAAAGAAACCACGUGAUAGUUCAAGUAGUAAUAUUCAUCGUAUUAGUGCUACUACAACUGGCACACAUACUGAUCAUAUAAAAAAUAUGUACAGUAACUCCUACAUUAACAUUUAUAAACCCAUCAAUCGUUAUAACGAAAUACAACAAAAAUCAAAGUAUCAUAAAUUAUUACCUUGUGUUAUGGAAAUAAUAGAUGACGAUUUAUUUAUAUACGUUUUUGAUAAAAAUAAUAAUAAAAUAUGUUGGGAAAUAGAAAAGGGUAGUUAUAUUUUAGGCAUAAAAGAAAAUCAAUUGAAUGACAUAAAACCACUGUCUAAAAAUGUAGAUAAUCGAUAUUAUUAUAACGAUAGUGGCAUUUAUACAGAUUAUAGUGUAUUGAAAAGUGGUUAUAUUUCUACCCCAAGAAAUAAAGUUAAAGAAUCUAACAGCUCUGUUUAUUCUUGUUGUACUAAAUGUUGUGAACCGAAUAUAGAAUCAAAUAAAAUGAUACGUACUAACAGCAUAAUAACAAGAGCCCCAACUUUAUACAAUUUAUUUGAUGAUAGUGAAGACACAUAUUUAUUACGCAACUAUGGUACUAAAGAAAAAGAUGUUAAUUUUUUUUUUAAUAUAUCACAAAAAAUUUCUAAUUUUUUUUACCAAAUAAAAGAAGGAAUAAAAAAAAGUACAUGUUUAUGUAUUACAUAUAACAAUGAUGAAGCAAGUUGGGAAGAUAAAAUUCAUUGUAGAGGUGUACCAAAAUAUAUCGAAUUAUUUAUAAAAAUUAAACCUUCUAUUAUACAUCAUUUACAAAAUAGAAUGACUAUAAAUGAUUGUAUCUGUAAAAAUAAUAAAAAAAAAAAUUUAUUAUUAAUUAAUGAAGAGAUAAGAAAGAUAUCAUUUAGUAAUUCUCUAUUUUUUGAAUAUCCAAAAAAAAAUAGUUAA